UUCAAGGAACCAGGCACAGGUGAAACAGAGUUGGUGCUUGAUGAUGUUAUCAAGAACUUGCCCUCCAAAGGUAACAAAUUCAGCCAGCUCCUAGUACGGACACAUUCUCCUAGACUGGGCAGUGUGAGUUUUGUCCCAAGGUUGGCCCUGUUGUUGUUCAGGUGCUGCCUGUGAACAGACACCCACAGAAGACGGAAAAGAUGAAUCCGCAGAUCGCUGCGUACACAUGCUCUUCUAGGGCAUUACUAAUCUAGAGGAAGCGAGUGGUUGAAGAACCACAUUUGUAAAGAGGAUAAGAGAUUAAUGAAAAGAAGUGGAGAAAAGAACCUGCAGUUACACAAGUUCCAGCUCUGUUCCAGAGAGUGAUAAAAAGGAGAAGGAAAAGGUCUGGAGUUGUUUGAUAGACUUCUGAGGAAGGAAGCGAAAAGAUGAAAGAUUACCUUCCCAGGUUGUGGACAUUGUUUAAAUGCGAAGGAAAAAGUGCAAGAAGGAAAUCCUCUUCCUUUUGACAAGACCAAGUUUCACAUGCUCGACCUGUAUCUUUCGUCUCAAGAGCAAGUGUCACCUCCCUUUGUGUUGGGCAUCAGAGAGAGAGAUCACAAGCCAGAAUUGCACCACUAAUGCCAGUCAUUCAACAGUCAUUUAUGGAACACUGAUUAUAGGACAGUCACUAUACUGGGUGCCAGGGUUAUAACAGAUGAACAAGAAGUGCAUGUCCUUUCCUUCCCCCACCAGAGCUCUUGGUCACUGUUGUGGUUCACUUUUUCACACUCACCAUCACUACCACCUUUCUUCUCAUCAUUUAAGGCCAUCCUGGACAUCUAAUUGUGUUUACAAAGCAUGUAAGGAUAAACAACAUGAACAUAAAAAUAAAAAUAGAAUCUUAAAAAAAUAAAAGAGUGGAAAAUAAUCACCUGGUGAUUUCAUUAAAAUGCAGAUUUCCAGGUAUAUUUGCAUAUUAUGAUUUAGAAAAAUCUAGAAACAGGUCCCAGGACUCAACAUCUUCAAAACAAUCUAGAAGAUUCUGAUGCAGGCAUUUCAUGGCUCACAUUUUGCAAAUACAAUCUUCUGUUAAACUAUCUUGUACAUUUUUGUCACAUUCAUUGUGUUUUGAAUGCACAACAGCCCAAGAAAGUAAAUGGGAUAGGAAUUAUUAUCUCCAAUUAUGGAUGAGGAAAAGAAAUGCAUAAGAUGCCUAUUCCAGCUGAUUUAUAUAACUGGCAUCUAUUUAUUUAAGCUCUACACUAGAAAUUAUAGAGGAUGAGACACUCAGUGGAUUUGCAUUAGGAGGGUGCAGAAGACAAGCACACAAAUAUGCCAGGGUGCCUUCCAUGCUAUUCUAUCUGGAAUUUACUUUAACACUUAUCAGUAUAUACAUGCACAUAAAUGUAUUAUGGUAACUUUAUUCUGUACCCUAAAGGUGGUAAGUUCACUCAUUCACUAAUUGGUUCAUUCGUUUUAACCCAAUAUUAUUGGGCAUUUAUUAUGUGUCUGACAUUAUUCUCAGUAUUGGGGAUACAGUAGUAAAUAAAAUACACAAAAACAUCUGUUUUCAUGAAUUAACAUUCUAGUGGGGGAAAAACAGAGACUAGGAAACCACAUCACCCUUCAUAUCUGAAAAGAUCUACCCAGCCAGUGGCUAUAGGGCUGUUUGGGGCCUAUUUGAUGAUGAGUAUUUAUACAAGUGGCAGAGACUGGCUUUUGGUCAAAAUAUUCCUUCCAGAAGUAAGUUGGGAAGCAGGUGCAGGAACCUCACCUACUAAUUGUCAAAAACCGUUGUUUAUCAAAAUAACCUGACAUGCCAAUCAUAACAGAUCAUCUCAUUUAACCUUUUCCAGUAAUAUGGGGUAUACAUACUAUCUCCAUUUUACAGAUGAGACAUUCGAGUCCUUAACAGGGUCAAAUAUUUCCUGAUGUUCGGUGAUUAAGUACUGAGUAGCAGAGACAGGAUAUAACAGGUUUGUGGCCAUAUCCUGUACAAUUGCCACUUCUCUAUACUGCUUUAAGAUCUUGGAG